rnacentral:rRNA from 1 species
CGUGUAGGUGGCUAGUUAAGUCGGGUGUGAAAGCCCUGGGCUCAACCGAGGAAGUGCAUUCGAAACUAGCUGGCUAGAAGAUAGUAGAGGAAGGUGGAAUUCCAAGUGUAGAGGUGAAAUUCGUAGAUAUUUGGAGGAAUACCGGCGGCGAAGGCGGCCUUCUGGGCUAUUCUUGACACUGAGACGCGAAAGCGUGGGAGCAAACA